GCGCCCUUAGCUCAGUUGGUUAGAGCAACCGGCUCAUAACCGGUAGGUCCAAGGUUCGAAUCCUUGAGGGCGCACCA
rnacentral:tRNA from 2 species